UUAUUUCUGCAUCUAUGGCUGCUGUUUUUGGGCCUGUCCUCCAUUGCUGCACCCAAAGGUUUUGCGAUACUGCUAUUAUUGUUGUGUUUUCCAUAGUGUUAUAGAUUUACAGGUGUCCUCUGUCAUCCUGCAGCAACAGCUUUGACUAUGGAAUUAGCAUUCCUUGACUGUGCCCCAUUGAGUGUGAUGUGUGUUUCCAUGAGGAUGCAGCUAGGGCUUGAGUUAAAGCAUAGCAGAGUUGAAGCUUUGGGGAAUCUGGCAUGUGAAAUGUUCCUGGGUUUCUUUGACAAUGAAAAUAAUGAAUCUCUUUGCCAUAUUCCCCAGGUGUUUUCCUAGAUGUCUACUAGUUAGCCCCUUGCUUCCUGCCUGCAAUUAGCACUUACAUUGUUGCAAAGGGAGAUGAAAUUCACUCUCUGCCAUUCUCCUUCAGGAAUCUCUCACACCUUUCCUACUGGGUAGGAAUAUGAGCUGUGGGUAAGGGGAGAUUCUAGUAGUAGAAUUAGAUUUGCAAGCAAUCCUAUCCCCCUGUGUCUCUUCUACUAGAUGUUGGUCCUCAUCAUGGUGUGUGAGCAUGGAAGCCCACAAACAGGAUUUCUUUCAGCAAAGACCCAAAUUUUCACGACUUCGUUCUGCCCCUGGAAUUAUAGAGGCACAAACUGGUCCACGUGCAUUUCACACAGGGUAACUGCAGCUGGAUAAGUGCCUGCUAUUUUGGUGAAGGAGAAGGGUGAGCGUAAAGCUGGGAGUACAUGACCACUGACCUUAAUUAGAGAAGAUAAAAAUGUUGAAACAUGAUUCCUAUGAAAACCAAGGAAGGUCUUUAUUGCCGAGUGUUUCCACAUGGAUGCCACUGAGAAGAGGUCAAGCGUUUCUAUAUACUUUAAGUAAACAGCAGAUUGAGUUCAUAGUCUGGACUGGAUUUGAGCAGUCUCUGUAUUCUGCAACAUCAUAAUUGAGUCUUAUGUACUUAAGAUUUGAUUGAUAUCCACCAACAUUAUUACCUGAGAUCUGCCAGGAAACACAGAGGCUAUUAAGAGCUUGCUAGUGAAGCUAUGCCUAGUGUCAUAUAUGGCUAACCCCAGGCUGGGACUGGGCCUUGGGCUCUGACUUUAGCAGAGGAAGAACGAUGGUUUCUCUUAGGAGUUGCUGUUGUUGGUUUUUGUCUGAUAAUACAUAUCUUCAAAUCUUUCCUGUCAUGUAAAAAAUGCCCAUAAUCUGCAAAAUUAAACUUGUUGAAUGAGAAAUGAGUUGCAUGUCAGGAACAGAAUGCUUCAAAUAAGGCAGUUUAUUUACGUGCCACUAAUGAAGCAUAUCAUGCCAUGUUAAGAUAUCAGGCGAAAAAUUCUUGUGUUCUUUCUUGCAGUUAUGCAGGCUGAAGGUUAAGACAACUGAAUGCAGUGGCUUUGUAUCAAAACCAACUCAGUCUCCCUACCUGGAAAUGGGAUGACAAUUGAAUCACAAAUUGCAGUCUUAUAUCUGCAGAUUUAGCUCUAGUAUCACUGCCACCUAUUCUUAUGUUAUCAGAGUUAAGUUGUGGUUCCUGUCCAAGCCAGAAGAAGAGCUAUGUUUGGUGGCCCUGCAUCUCACGUAGCCUCUGUGCAGCUGCUGGCCUGCUGUCCAGGACAAGGAACUGCCACGUGGUACGUUCCUAAUGACAGAUUUGGGAAACAGCGACAGCUGAACACCUGCAUUCUUCUCAGCCUUUGCACCUUACUGCCUCAGUUUCACUACUGAUAAUUAAAGCACAUUUAUAUCAAGAACUGUUUUUCCAACUAGGAAAAUUAUCUCAGCAUUUGAUAUUGAUUUUCUUUUACUGAAAGGUAGCUGUGAUCUUCACAUUUCGCAUUCCACAGCAGAGAAAGUGCUGGUGGGAGAUACUGGCCUGUAACACCUACCGCUGGCCCUCCAUCUGUGGGGCUGCUGGCAUUGCUAGUUCAAAUUGUUAGUUCAUCUGGUGGAAAAAUACUUAACUUGGGGUAUAUGGGGCUUCAGAGGCAGAAGGGCACACCCUAAGGAAGUGCCCUGCUGGUCAUUUAAUCCCUGCUUUGUUCACUAUGUGGUGCGUGUUGGCUGGCUCAGGAGGUGUGCCCUGCUCCUCCAGUGCUGUGAUGUGACCAGCAACCCCCAGAGAUCGGUGGCUCUGCAGCUGCAUGUCCUGCCUUCUGAACUCUGAGUCCUGGGAGGGGACUGGAAGAGCUGAAUGGUUUUAUCUGCACCAGCCACCCCUAACUAUCUUAAAGCCCCAAACCACGAGGGGCAGUUGGUUACACAGCACGGUAGGGUGCAAGCUAUUAGCCCCAAGUGUUUCCAGAUUCCAUUUGGUGCACAGCACAAGCCCUUUCCCACACGAUAUCUGAACUAAACCUCAUCAGCAGUGCCCAGGUUCAGAUCCUGACCCAGCCUGCACUGCAGCCCCUCUGCUGAACUAACCCGAGAUGAAAGGCGUCAAAUGACAGGAUACAGAGUGCUGAGAGCUGGCAGCGGAGGUUUCUUCUGCAGACAUCUUGCUGGUUGUUUUAAGGUCUUCUGCCUCUAAGUGGCACCAUGCUGAGUGAUUGAACACUUGCUAGAAUCUGUUCUACCUUUUAUUGCAAUGAUUUAUUACAGAGCUCCCAGUUUCCAAACUCUGAACUUUCACAAACGCUGCCUGGAUGUCAGAGCCCUUUUGUCAGAAACACCAGAGCCUUCUGGAGUGAUGGUCCUGGUACUACAAAACCCCUUUGGAAAGCCACAGCUCUUGAACCAGCAUGGGGAAAGACUGAACUUUCAUUUUUAGAGAAGGCUUUCACAUCCCCAGGAUCUGCAUCUGAGAGGUACUCAAAAUACAGCCAAGAGAAGCUUUCUUUACUGUAAAUUUCCAGAGGAUUACACUGAAUCACAGUCUUGCAUAGUCCAGUUUACAGAUUUGUAUGUACUUAAUAUAAUUAGGCUCAGAUUGUCUUUAUGCAGCUUCUGCUCAGAGAGCAGGAACUAAUUUGGAAGGGGGACAGAGGGUGUCCCAGAAUGGAUGGGUCCAGUCUACAUCCACUACGAGACAGACAGACACACACUUGUUCUGAACAUCCUGAAACUGCUUAAGCGAAGCGCACUCCCCAGACUAGCUAUGCAGUACUGGCAAUGUUGUGCUGCUUAGAACAGAAGGAUUUGAUUUCUCUGUGCCACAGAGGGCUCACAACACAAUAGCAUUCAGAUAUUCAAGCACCUAUUAUGAAAUCUGACUUUGCUUUAGUACUUAGAAGUCCUCGCAUAUUUUGUGGCAUUUAGGGCUGCCUUACUCUGCCUGAAAAUACAGUGAGGUUUUCCUGUCCCUACAUAAUGAAACAAAAUCCACACCCCAAACUCCUACAGCUCAAAACAACCAACCAGUGCAGCUCAGGAAAACUAUGGAUACUUUCGGAGAGCUAAAGAAAUGUACAUCAUGAGAAAAGUUUUCCUGUAUUUGAGAGAAGGUUGUCAGGAUGGUAAUAUAGUACAGUGUGUAGUGAGGACUGGGAGAUUUAUGUGCCGAUUCUGUGUAUGAUUUAUUUUGAUGAAUUGUUUUUUAUCAAUAUGUAAAAAUCCAAUAAAUAUAACUCCCUUUACAAAGGGUUGCUCCAGUCCCAGUGUUUCAGUGGACAGUUUUGGCAGAAAGUCAGGAUGUGCAUUAAAAACACACUUUUUGAGAAGUCUAAUAAAUAAAAGCUCUGAAAUAUGGUUUCCUACUGAGAAAGGCAUUUUAAAUCAUUUUGAUAAAGAACCUAAAUUAGGCCUUAAAAGGAGGGGGAAGCUAGGUCCCUGCAACUAAUUAUUUAUAGGUAUUUUGAAUAUAAAAGUCCAGGAAAGCCUGCCUCCAUCCCCCAUUCUCUGCCACAAUAAAGGGGAAAGAAAAAGCCAUUCCCCUUCCACCUCCCACCCAAAUUAUAAGGCAGAAGUGUUAGAAAGGGGCCAAAGGAAACAAAAUUAAAAUAAGGAACAGAGAACUGACAAAAACAAGGAACUUCAGAAGUCCUGGAAAAAAAAAACAACCUGCACACUUUCUCCCCAAAGCAGAGAUACCAGGAGGGGACAGGUCUUCACUUCUCCUCCUCAUUACUCAAGAGCAGUGGGCUGCUACUCACCCCAGUCCUCUGAAGAGGGAAUAUACUGAUAUUUGCUAAGCACCACAGGGAAUGUUUUUAGAAGUGAAUAAACAUUUGAAUAGCCCCAUUCUCUCUGAAAGUCAAAGCAAUUUAGAGAUGGCAUAGAAGUCAAAACUGCUGGGGAUGUCGGCUUCUGAAUCACUUAAGUGCUUCUGGAUAUGUUAAUCCAAAAACGUUUGGCAUGUGUACAGCCACCCAUGGGCCUUGCCUUCAGGGGAGUUACAGCACAGCGACCUGCUACCCCCUGCAGCAGAACCAGUGGGGCUGAAGAUGUGCUCUGUGCUUCAGUGGGAGAGUCUGUGGCUCCGCAGCAGCAAUUGGCAGCGCCCUGGUUUGGAUCUCAAGCCAAGCCCAGAAACUCAGGUGCAGUUCACAAGGCUCAAGGCUCUGAAUGGGAAGGCUGACAAAUGAGAGAUUAAUAAAUGGAAGCACAGUGUGUGUGCUGGAGAGAUUUCUGCUAUGGUGGUUGUGCCUACCAGGCUUCCUACUGAACUUACUGCUAUUCAUCUUACAGACAUCUAGAAUUUCCCUCCCUGUUCUCAGCUUCACCUUGUACUCCCUUCUGCCUCCAGGCACGAGCUGCUCUUGUCCCUGCACAAGGGCCAUUCAUUCUCUGCUCCAUCAGGAGCGCUUCCCUCUGAGUUUGGGUUCAUCCCUCUCCUUAAAUCUGACCUUCACAUCUUCCUUCUCAUUGCAGGGCUCAGUAAGGUGCACUACAGAAAGAGCCACUGCACUUGCUGAAGCAGGAGGCUGCUAGCACUAGGGAAGGAAAACACAAACCUCAGAAAAUUAAUAGAAGCAUUUAAGAGUUGGAAUUUAACAAUGUGGGUCUGCAUCUACCUUUGGCCUGCCUCUGUGCUGUAGUUUCAUAGGACACAAGAGCGCCCUUUUGUUGACUGGAGCCAGUUACAAGUCUUCUAGCAUCCUCCAAAUCCAAGCAAGACGAGGCUGCCCAGACUUACAGACAGCUUGCAGCCCUGAUGUGUGCACAGCCUGAACUUGCAGACAGUGCCCUCUCAGGUCAGAAAGAGCAGAAAAGCUCAGCCACACAGCACCAGUGCAGCAUUUAGCUCCAAAGCUGACACAAAUACGUGGCCAAGUUUUCAAAAUAACUGAGCAGCUUCAGGGCUUCGUUACCUGCAAACACAUCAGCGGGAACUGCAGGACUCAGUUCUGAAAACCUGGGCUGGGAGAACUCAAAAAAUGGGCCAAAGGCUCCUCUGAAAAUAUCCUAAAUGACCAAACGAGAAAGAGCAACGGAUAGAAUGGCAGCACAAAACCAGAAGGUGCUAGCUGCAAUUGAAGACAAGAUUUUGUCCCCAGUUCACAGCAGCUCUGAGAUUUCUCUCAACCCACCAAAAAGAGAAAAGAGAAGUUCACAGAUAGUCAAAAUGUAAAAA